rnacentral:rRNA from 1 species
UGGGGAAUAUUGCACAAUGGGGGAAACCCUGAUGCAGCGACGCCGCGUGGAGGAAGAAGGUCUUCGGAUUGUAAACUCCUGUUGUUGAGGAAGAUAAUGACGGUACUCAACAAGGAAGUGACGGCUAACUACGUGCCAGCAGCCGCGGUAAAACGUAGGUCACAAGCGUUGUCCGGAAUUACUGGGUGUAAAGGGAGCGCAGGCGGGAGAACAAGUUGGAAGUGAAAUCCAUGGGCUCAACCCAUGAACUGCUUUCAAAACUGUUUUUCUUGAGUAGUGCAGAGGUAGGCGGAAUUCCCGGUGUAGCGGUGGAAUGCGUAGAUAUCGGGAGGAACACCAGUGGCGAAGGCGGCCUACUGGGUACCAACUGACGCUGAGGCUCGAAAGUGUGGGUAGCAAACAGGAUUAGAUACCCUGGUAGUCCACACCGUAAACGAUGAUUACUAGGUGUUGGAGGAUUGAACCCUUCAGUGCCGCAGUUAACACAAUAAGUAAUCCACCUGGGGAGUACGACCGCAAGGUUGAAACUCAAAGGAAUUGACGGGGGCCCGCACAAGCAGUGGAGUAUGUGGUUUAAUUCGACGCAACGCGAAGAACCUUACCAAGUCUUGACAUCCCUUGACGAACAUAGAAAUAUGUUUUCUCUUCGGAGCAAGGAGACAGGUGGUGCAUGGUUGUCGUCAGCUCGUGUCGUGAGAUGUUGGGUUAAGUCCCGCAACGAGCGCAACCCUUAUGGUCAGUUACUACGCAAGAGGACUCUGGCCAGACUGCCGUUGACAAAACGGAGGAAGGUGGGGAUGACGUCAAAUCAUCAUGCCCUUUAUGACUUGGGCUACACACGUACUACAAUGGCGUUAAACAAAGAGAAGCAAGACCGCGAGGUGGAGCAAAACUCAGAAACAACGUCCCAGUUCGGACUGCAGGCUGCAACUCGCCUGCACGAAGUCGGAAUUGCUAGUAAUCGUGGAUCAGCAUGCCACGGUGAAUACGUUCCC